CCGGGAAACGGGUGCUAAUACCGCAUUAGUUUUCUUGAUCGCAUGAUUGAAGGAAAGGAAAGGACCGGUCCUUUGUGCUGUCGCUUAGUGGAGUCGGACCCGGCGGCGUAUUAGUAGUUGGUGAGGUAAUGGCUCACCAAGACGAUGAUACGUAGCCGACCUGAGAGGGUGAUCGGCCACAUUGGGACUGAGACACGGCCCAAACUCCUACGGGAGGCAGCAGUAGGGAAUCUUCCGCAAUGGACGAAAGUCUGACGGAGCAACGCCGCGUGAGUGAAGAAAGGUUUUCGGAUCGUAAAACUCUGUUGUCAGAGAAGAACAAGUCGGAGAGUAACUGCUCCGGCCUUGACGGUAUCUGACCAGAAAGCCACGGCUAACUACGUGCCAGCAGCGGC
rnacentral:rRNA from 1 species